rnacentral:lncRNA from 10 species
CACAGAGCUUACUGCAGAUUCCACCAAAAAAGUAAGAAGAUCCAAAAGGGCAAGGCGUAGGGUCUGUCGGGCGGGUGUGUCCCAGUUUAAACAAAGCUGCUUUGAUGUGCUUCCCAGCGGGCAGGCACAGGAAUGCAAGGCCCUGCUCUGUCUUGCAGCCAAGAGGGAGUUAUAAACAUCCAUCUGCAAGGGAAGAUCCAUCAGCUCCUAUCAACCACACAGGAAAGAUUUACAGGUUCAUUGCAGUAUCAUUCAAAAUAGCGAAGAUGUGGAAACUGCCUUAGUGUCCAUUGGUGCGUGGAUGGAUAAGAAAAUGUGGUACAGAUAAAUUUGAUGGAAUAUUAUUCAGCCUUAAAAAAACAAGGAAAUCCUGUAUUUGUGACAGCUUGGAUUAUGUGAAUAGGACUCAUUUCCUUUCAUUAAGACUGGA